GAUGAACGCUGGCGGCGUGCUUAACACAUGCAAGUCGAACGAGAAGUGAAGACGGAAACCUUCGGGCGGAAGGCUUUAUUUCGAGUGGCGGACGGGUGAGUAACGCGUGGGUAACCUGCCUCAUACAGGGGGAUAACAGUUGGAAACGACUGUUAAUACCGCAUAAGACCACAGCACCGCAUGGUGCGGGGGUAAAAACUCCGGUGGUAUGAGAUGGACCCGCGUUCGAUUAGCCAGUUGGCGGGGUAACGGCCCACCAAAGCGACGAUCGAUAGCCGAUCUGAGAGGAUGACCGGCCACAUUGGGACUGAGACACGGCCCAAACUCCUACGGGAGGCAGCAGUGGGGAAUAUUGCACAAUGGGGGAAACCCUGAUGCAGCGACGCCGCGUGAGUGAAGAAGUAUCUCGGUAUGUAAAGCUCUUUCAGCAGGGAAGAAAAUGACGGUACCUGAGUAAGAAGCCCCGGCUAACUACGUG
rnacentral:rRNA from 1 species